rnacentral:rRNA from 1 species
GCCUCUUGAGGCGGGGAAGGGGAGAAAUCUCUGGAGCCGUGGAUGGGGGUCGGAAGCUUGACGCUGGUGAGUGGCGGAUGGGUGAGUAACACGUCGGUGACCUGCCCCAAAGUGGGGAAUAACCGCCCGAAAGGGCAGCUAAUUCCGCAUGUGGUCUAUCGUUCACUCGAUAGAUUAAAGGCGCAAGCCGCUUUGGGAGGGGCUCGCGGCCGAUUAGCUAGUUGGUAGGGUAAUGGCUUACCAAGGCGAUGAUCGGUAGCUGGUCUGAGAGGAUGAUCAGCCACACUGGCACUGACACACGGGCCAGACUCCUACGGGAGGCAGCAGCAAGGAAUAUUGCACAAUGGGCGAAAGCCUGAUGCAGCAACGCCGCGUGGGCGAUGAAGGCCUUCGGGUUGUAAAGCCCUUUUCUGCGGGAAGAGCAAGGACGGUACCGCAGGAAUAAGUCUCGGCUAACUACGUGCCAGCAGCCGCGGUAAUACGUAGGAGACGAGCGUUAUCCGGAUUUACUGGGUGUAAAGCGCAUGUAGGCGGGUUCUCAAGUCGGGCAUGAAAUCUUUCGGCUUAACCGGGAGGGGUGGUCCGAUACUAGGAGCCUUGAGGGCAGGAGAGGGAAGCGGAAUUCCCGGUGUAGUGGUGGAAUACGUAGAUAUCGGGAGGAACACCAGUGGCGAAGGCGGCUUCCUGGCCUGUGCCUGACGCUAAGAUGCGAAAGCGUGGGUAGCAAACGGGAUUAGAUACCCCGGUAGUCCACGCCGUAAACGAUGGAUACUAGGUGUUGGUGGCCCUUUACCCCACCAGUGCCGAAGCUAACGCGAUAAGUAUCCCACCUGGGGACUACGGUCGCAAGACUAAAACUCAAAGGAAUUGACGGGGGCCCGCACAAGCAGCGGAGCGUGUGGUUUAAUUCGAAGCAACGCGAAGAACCUUACCAGGUCUUGACAUCCAGGUAAAGCUGCAGAGAUGCAGUGUGUGCUUGCACAAUCUGAGACAGGUGGUGCAUGGUUGUCGUCAGCUCGUGUCGUGAGAUGUUGGGUUAAGUCCCAUAACGAGCGCAACCCCUACCUUUAGUUGCCAUCAGGUCAUGCUGGGGACUCUAAAGGAACUGCCUACGCAAGUAGUGAGGAAGGCGGGGAUGACGUCAAAUCAGCACGGCCCUUACGUCCAGGGCUACACACGUGCUACAAUGGCCGAUACAGAGGGCAGCUACCUGGUGACAGGAUGCAAAUCUCCAAAGUCGGUCUCAGUUCGGAUCGGAGUCUGCAACCCGACUCCGUGAAGUUGGAUUCGCUAGUAAUCGCGCAUCAGCCAUGGCGCGGUGAAUACGUUCCCGGGCCU